rnacentral:rRNA from 1 species
GGAGGGUCCAAGCGUUAUCCGGAAUCAUUGGGUUUAAAGGGUCCGUAGGCGGGCGAUUAAGUCAGAGGUGAAAUCCCACAGCUCAACUGUGGAACUGCCUUUGAUACUGGUUGUCUUGAGUUAUAGUGAAGUAGAUAGAAUGUGUAGUGUAGCGGUGAAAUGCAUAGAUAUUACACAGAAUACCGAUUGCGAAGGCAGUCUACUAACUGUAUACUGACGCUAAUGGACGAAAGCGUGGGGAGCGGACAGGAUUAGAUACCCUGGUAGUCCACGCCGUAAACGAUGGUCACUAAUUGUUGGGGGUUUACCUCAGUGAUUAAGAGAAAUUGAUAAGUGACCCACCUGGGGAGUACGAUCGCAAAGAUUG